rnacentral:rRNA from 1 species
ACAAUGCGGGACUAUACGUCUUGCAAUUGGAUUGAGAACAAUGUACAACUCUUAUCGAUAAGCCAUUGGAGGGCAAGUCUGGUGCCAGCAGCCGCGGUAAUUCCAGCUCCAAUAGCGUAUAUUAACGUUGUUGCAGUUAAAAAGCUCGUAGUUGAAGUGUGGGUGAUCGCUAUUGUGAGACUUCGGUCUCUCGAUAGUAAGUCACCCCCUUCCAGUAUCCAGUAGUGGGUAUUCACUUACUUACUAUUGUGUGUUGGUCCUUUACUGUGAGAAAAUUAGAGUGUUCAAAGCAGGCGUUUGCUUGAAUAGAUUAGCAUGGAAUAAUAAUUGAAGGCUUUCGUGUUCGAUUUGAUUGGUUUGUUCAUGGAAGCAAGGUUAAAAGGAACAGUUGGGGGUAUUCAUAUUCACUAGUUAGA